rnacentral:rRNA from 1 species
AUUGAACGCUGGCGGCAUGCCUAACACAUGCAAGUCGAACGGCAGCACAGAUAUAGUUUACUAUAUUGGGUGGCGAGUGGCGGACGGGUGAGUAACGCGUGGGUAUAUAACCUAAAGACGGGGACAACUUGCGGAAACGCGAGCUAAUACCGGAUAAGCUCUGAGGAGAAAAGCUGGGGAUCUGGCGACAGACCUGGCGCUUUAGGAGUAACCUGCGUCCAAUUAGCUAGUUGGUAGGGUAAAGGCCUACCAAGGCGACGAUUGGUAGCUGGUCUGAGAGGACGGACAGCCACACUGGGACUGAGACACGGCCCAGACUCCUACGGGAGGCAGCAGUGGGGAAUAUUGGACAAUGGGCGAAAGCCUGAUCCAGCAAUGCCGCGUGUGUGAAGAAGGCCUGAGGGUUGUAAAGCACUUUCGGCCGGGAAGAAAUCGUGGUCUCUAACAUAGGCCAUGGAUGACGGUACCGGACUAAGAAGCACCGGCUAACUACGUG